rnacentral:rRNA from 1 species
UACGUAGGGGGCAAGCGUUGUCCGGAUUUAUUGGGCGUAAAGAGCUCGUAGGUGGUUCGGUAAGUCGGCUGUGAAAUCUCCAGGCUCAACCUGGAGGGGUCAUUCGAUACUGCCGUGACUAGAGGUCGGUAGGGGAGUGUGGAACUGCGAGUGUAGAGGUGAAAUUCGUAGAUAUUCGCAAGAACACCAGUGGCGAAGGCGGCUCACUGGCCCGAUACUGACGCUGAGGCACGAAAGCGUGGGGAGCAAACAGG